GAUGAACGCUAGCGGCAGGCUUAAUACAUGCAAGUCGAGGGGCAGCACGGUUAGCAAUAACUGGUGGCGACCGGCGCACGGGUGCGUAACACGUAUACAAUCUACCUUAAACAGGGGAUAGCCUUUCGAAAGAGAGAUUAAUACCCGUAAUAAAUUGAACGGCAUCGUUUGAUUUUGAAAGCUCCGGCGGUUUGAGAUGAGUAUGCGUCUGAUUAGCUAGUUGGUGAGGUAACGGCUCACCAAGGCGACGAUCAGUAGGGGAUCUGAGAGGACUAACCCCCACACUGGUACUGAGACACGGACCAGACUCCUACGGGAGGCAGCAGUAAGGAAUAUUGGUCAAUGGAGGCAACUCUGAACCAGCCAUGCCGCGUGCAGGAUGACGGCCCUAUGGGUUGUAAACUGCUUUAUACAAGAGAAAACCCUGGUACGUGUACCAGGUUGAUAGUAUUGUAAGAAUAA
rnacentral:rRNA from 1 species